CUGAGUGCAGAAAAGUAACUAGCUUAAGGCCACACCGCCAGGUAGUUGAGAAGGGAUUGGAAUCCUUCAGGAUUGCUGACCGUCUCCUGGCCACUUCUUUCUUUUCUUCCUGAGGGGCUCUGAAAUCUUGGCUACAUGUCUGUGCCUGGGAGCAAUGGCACGGGACCUGUUAUAUUACCCAUCAACAUUAAACCUUUCCCUGAACGCUACCACAGCUAGAUAGGUUUUCAUUUCCUUUUCUUGUGGUAGGAGGCUUGGUGCAGACUUGAGAAAAUCUGCUUAGAAGCCAAAAAGCCAAUAAUUUGUCUUUUCUUCCCCUCUGUGCCUGUCUCCCCAUUUGAAAGGGGUCCAUGUAGGAAGCUGUCCCUGUUGACAAAUGGAGGGUGAGGUAACAGGUCCCGUGCAAAGGGGGAAUCCUUGGAUUAGUGGCUAAAAUCAUCAUCUCUGUCCACUUCUCUUUGUUGAGCUCUUACUAUGCUCCAGCCCCCGUGCUAAGCUCUGUCCAUGCACCGUAUCACUAAAUCAUCACAAUGUGAAGAAGUAGGUAUACCAGAUGACGGAAGGGCUCCUGAGACUUGGAGAGGUUAAAAAACUGAUCUAAGGUCAUAUUUGACAACUCAGUGGUUGGAGAUCCUCCAGCGGCUUUGCCUGCACGACCGGCUGUCAGUCCAACACCGGGGCCUAGUCAUUGCCUAUAACCUGCUGGCAGCCGACGCUGAGCUGGCCAAGAAGCUGGUGGAGAGUGAGCUGCUGGAGAUCCUGACUGUUGUGGGCAAACAAGAGCCAGAUGAGAAGAAGGGGGCAGUGGUGCAGACAGCCCGGGAAUGUCUCAUCAAGUGCAUGGAUUAUGGCUUCAUUAAACCAGUGUCUUAGACAGGGGCCCACAGGGCUGCUGGGGCUGGUCCUGUAGUAUGAAGAGUCCUAAGCUGGGAACUCAAGCGUGUCAUUUCAGCGGGGGAUCUUAGCAGUGACAGUGAAGUCUCCAUAUAAAAGAAAGACUUGAGUGUUCCCUGAGUUGUCGACCUUCCCCUUGGCCCUAGGACAGUUUGGAUGUUUCAUUGGCUCUCUUGCUGUCUCCUUACAUCUAUCAUGUUCCAGAAAUUCCUAGAAUAAUUUUCAUCUGUGAUUCGGAAUACAAGUUGGAUAAUUCUUUCGGUACCCAUUCCAAAGGCCAGGAUAAUGGGCUGAAUUCUUUGUUUUUGGAAAAUGGAUUGUGUGGUAAGGUAAGACCUAAUAGGUGUGUGAAUAAAAAAGUUAGUGCUAUUGUGUCUGGA